ensembl:lncRNA
GUCAAACAUUAUUCUUACUACAUGGACACUUGUCAAGGUUUGGUGUCAGUUUGCCUCAGACUCAUAAGAGCUUGCUGAGACAGUGCACAAAGCUGUAAUUUCCAUGGCUGCUUUGGUAGGAACUGAGGCUCUGCCUCUUGUUCUGAGGUGAGGAUGGACAGUGUUAGAGGGUUUCUUCAGGCCUAAGCCAACCUCGGGUGUGGGAGGUGCACAGGAGCUGAAGCAGGCUGGGGUGGUGCCUGAGCAGAGACCAGGCCUUGGGAAAGAUUGACUUGAGGAAGGUUUUCUUUCAUGGUAAAGUUAAAGUAGCAGUCAGCUCAAGCAGCAGCCUCUGAUGCCUGUCUACAAUUGCAGUGUUCUGUGCACCUACCACACAAGACCAGGGAGCAGGGGACUCCACUGCAGCCUUCACUCAUGUAGCCUGUCUGCAGCUGUCCCCGGAGAUGCUGGGAAGCAAGUCCCCAUCACAGGUAGCUCCACUGAAGUCUGGGCAAGUGAUAAUGACACUCCGAAGUCAAUAGGAAGGCCAUUGUGUCAGCCUACUUUAGCUCCUUCAAGGAGCCAUCUCAGCGCUGCCAAGUGGAUUAGCUCCCGGAGGGGCGGCCGGCUCCCCCCGCCCGGGAUCGCAUCCGCAUCCUCAUCCAUCCCCGCGGGCUCGCUGCCCCGAGCGCUGCCCCGCUCCGCCCCCGCCUCUGGCUUCUUCCCGAGCUGCCGCACCGAGCGCUGCCUGACAGUCUCUACGUGGGAUACGCUUUGUAUUUCGCAGUACCUUUAAUGAGUGUGUCCUACGCAUGGAGAAGCCCAGCUGGAGAUGUGCUCCCUCAAUGGAUUGUGUAAUGGGAAGGAGCUGCUGUCAGCCCAGAGCAGAGGCUCCUGUUCCACUGUGGGUUCAGGAGAAGCGGGAGCACCUCGGUGGAAGCCUCUGUACAGGUUUGUACACUGCAUAUGUGCUUGGUGAGGGAGCACAAUUGGUGUUCCAUAACAAGCAAAGGCGAAUGUCCCUGCCUAGCAAUCAAAAUGCAGCCUGGGGACCAUACAGUCUUGGUGCCUGUGAUACUCAUGAAAGGGUAAGAGUCUCAUGAGUUCAUUCAUAGCUAUUCUUACAUUAAAUUCUCUCAAUUUCAAUGUCAUGAGUGAAGGCAGAGAUUCCAGUUCAUUGCUGGCACAAGAAGAGUCACUGGGACUGAUUUAAGCCAGGUUACACCUUUUGCAAUGCUCGUCAGCAGUGGUUGAGCCCUGUUGCUUCCACUUAGAGUGAGUCAAAAGCAGGGUGAAAUGUAGGAAUAUUUGUGUUGGCUUCAAAACAUGAUUGAAGAUAAAUUGCUGUUAAGCUCCAUUUCUGUCUAGCUGUUGAUACAUGUAAUAAGACAAAUUAAUUAAGAGCUUAUACUCACAAUAUAUAGGGAUUUCAAUUGUUUUAAAGUGGUAGUUAGUCUUUCAGCAGCUAGAGGAUACACACGCCUGAGUUAUUCUAGUAGAUCAGUGCUUCCAGAAGCAUAUGUUUAGUUUGCCACACUUGCACUUCAUGUCAAUCACCUUUUGUGCAUAUUUAUCAUGCAUUGAACAAACCAAAACUGUCCUUUGCCCAUUUUAUGAGCGUCCUGCAAAGCAGGGAAUGAAGUGGGUUGAUGACAGCUCAUCCAUCUCACUGUUUUUGAAAGGGAUUCUCCUACUGGACAUCAUGCAGAGCAGUGCUUUUUUGAAGCCCACCCACCUAGUUCUAGUCCCCGUUCAGACAUGAUUGUAUUUCCCUAAGGCACUUCUUGGAGUGUAAA